UACAUGAGUUACUUGGCCUGAUUUUUUUAAAAUAAGGGUGGCAUUUUGUUCACAGUAAUUUUCUUAAUCUAAAAAUUAUAUAUGGUAUGGUCUUUGCUAUGCUCAUCAUUUUUGUAUGGUAGUUAACUAAACUUUAAAUUAUCAUUAGAAAUUAAAUGACCUUUUAGUUCUAUGACAAAAGCAUUCAUGGUAUUUAAUUCUCAAACGGAACAUCUGACAUUUUGAGCUUCGUGGAACUUUUUUCAGUCUUGUUAUAUUAUUUGGCUCAUCUUCAUAUCUUUUAUUAGCAGGUGAUGUGAUGGGUUGUUGAAGCAGAUGGAUAGUUAAGAACUAUGUAGCCUACAUGCCGACUUACACUUAUAUUUAAACCACACAUGCUCAAGUCAGAUUGUUGAAUGAAUUUACUCACCUACUGUCGAAUACGGAUGCUUUGAUGCAAUUUUGGGAUAAAAUUAAAUUGAUUGAGCAUCUAUGAAGUUGCAACACAAUUCUGAUAAGAAUGCAUACUCGGGUGCCAGAGAGGAUGUCAAAGCCAUGUUUUGCAUGGUUGAGUGCUUGGACCAUGGUGAUAAGGGUCGAUCUUGCAUCACCCUCUUCAUAAACACUAGUAAGGUAGUUGUGCAUCUCAAUCUGACCCUGUUAUUGAGUUUGUUUGACAAAAAAAACAGAGUUAGUCACUUGAAAGCUUAUUCAUUUCGAGUAAAAGCCAGUUUAGCUGAAAAUUUGAAAUUUAAAUUACUUUAUGAUCCAUUUCUGCAACAUCAUCCAUGACUCCUUUAAACCAUUCAAAAGAGCCAGGUUCUCUUGUAACCCAGUAAAAAUGGGCAUUUGUAGUUCUCUGCGAUUUCUUCUUCCCUCCAGGUGUUAUAUUUGACGAGGUGAAGCUAUUUAGGCUAUCAUCUGAUGUACUAGCUUCCGUAUUUGAAUCCUAGGACAUGGAUACAUUGGGUGCAAUUAGGGGAAGUAAAAGUCAAUACAAAAGUUAUAUAGACACUGUAAAAAAGGAGACAUGAAACGCGUACUUGCUCUUCUGCUCUUGUAUUGUUUACAAGAUCUCUAAGGAUGCUUAUAAAAGGUGUAGCUCCAAUCCCAAGCCCCACCAGCAGCAAGACAUCAUAGUUUCGAUAAUCUUGUGCUGGUGCCCCGUAUGGGCCAUCAACAAGCAAUCUGGGUUGGCUGCAUUUGAUGUUCUGUUUUAAUAUUUCUAGAGAUAAGCAGAACCUAAAAUAUUUGUAGGUAAAGUUACUUGAAGAAUAUACCUUCUCUGAUAUGAAACUCCAAGCUGACCAAAGUGAGCCCUACCAAUCACAGCGGAUGGAUCAUUGCCUUCAGUAACAACUCGUUUCAAUUCUUCUGUCCAGUCUCCCACUGUUCUGAUGUGAACACUUAAAUAGUCGUCUCCUGGGGCUGAGGUAAUUGAAAAUGGGUGCCUGCAAAGAAGAAAGUGGUGACGAUUGGUUUGACGUGUGAAUUGUAGACAGAGUCAUAAAGGACAAUGAAUUUCUUAUCUGAUGAGACUCACCAUUCAAAUUGAGAGAUUGGUGGACAUUGUAGAAAUAUAUACUGCCCACUUUUGUACUUGAAUCCGGGUGGCUUGGACAUGAUUAAGUUGAAAACUUGCCCUGGUAGCACUGAGACCUGUCCAAUGUCAUCAUCUAUGUUAGUUUCAUUGGCUCCGCUCAGCUACAUACAAUAUCAAUGGAACAGAGAUGUACAUCCACGUCUGGACAAUUAACAAAGGAUCAACUUGCAGUUCCUCUUCCGUUUAUAUAAAUACAGAACAAAACCAAGAAAAUCUUACCGAUUUCUGAUACCACUCGUGUGCCAAAUACAGGCAUUGCCCGUGGACUACUAGCAAAAUGUAGACGAAAGCAAACAGGUGAUGAGAGUACCAGAAUGCAUUGAAGCCUGUCAACUUGUUCAAAGGCGCUGGCAAUUUCACCACGUUUCUACGGAAUCGACGAGCAGCAAGCGUGAACGCAACGAUCAUGAACACCACCAUUAGAAUUCCAGUCACACCCUCUGGACCUGUCAAAAGAUCUUUGUACGUCGGCUGUACGCCAUGAAAAUCGGAGGAUAUGACUGCAAAUCUUUCUGGCGGUGAGUUUACCAGCCUAGGAAAAUCGCACGUUAAGUGGUUCCCCGCAUGGAGAGUGAUUCCGACGGCUAUACCACACGCAAUUAACUGCAUGACAAUUGACAAAAGGUCUAAAGUUACCUUUCUGUGAGAAUAUUACAGCAUAACUUCCAUAAGUAUGCAUUGUUUUUCCCUCAUAUAAAUAAUGACGCUGCUACAAUAUAAUCUACUGACAGUAGGCACUGCCAUUUUAAUAAAUUUAAUCAAAGUAUAACUUACCUGUCCCAUGAGACAGAAA